CAACAACCUUUUCAUUUUGUUUGUUUUUCUCAACAUAACAAUCUUUAAUGAAAUGUCCAGUUUUACCGCACCCAUAACAUUUCCUACCUUUAGGUUUACCUUUUGGCCUAGAUAGACUCCUAUUUUUCUUUUUACCACCAGAUGCAUAUCCUCUUUGGUUAUCACGAGUCCUAGACUGAGACCUACCUCUCAUCAUAUGGACCUCACCACUUUUUCUCUCGACUCUCUCGGCUCGCAUUUCCAUAUCUUUACUUCUUAACGAGUCUAUGACAAUUUCAGGUGUUAAAGUAUCUCUCCCGUACUUAAUAGCAUUUUUAACAUCUCUAUAAGUGUCAGGAAUAGCAUUCAACAAAAUGAUAGCCUUAUAUUCUUCAGAUACUUUUUCACCACAGUUAGUGAUGUCUUGCACAAGUUUAUUGAAAACAUCCAAAUUGUCAUCAAGGUCUUUUGAAGAAUCAAUUUUGAAACUAAAAAAGCUUUCGAGUAGAAAAAGUUUGUUUGGAGUGGACCUUGACACAUAAAGUUCCUCCAAUUUUUCCCAAAGUUCUUUGGUAGUUUUUAACUUACCAACUUUUCUUAAAACUGCAUCAGACAAGUGUAAAAUAAUAGAAGUGUAUGCCAAUUCAUCCAAGUUUUCUUUUUCUUCAGCAGUCAAGGUUUUAGAAAAAGAAUUAUCAAUAGCUUUUGAAACUUUUUUUUGAACAAGAAUACCUUUCAUUUUUUGUUGCCAAAUAGAAAAAUCUCCUUUACCAUUAAAGAUACCCAAUUCAAAGUGAUGUGUCGACAUCUUACCAAAAAAUGCACAGAACACAAAUUCAAACUUGUAAAAGUCACAGGUCACACAGAUUACACAGUAGCAAGAUUCCUAUGGUUUCACAGUAAUACUCUAUUCUAGAACCCCAGGAUUCCGUGAGAAUCAAGUUCUCAGGUCAAGGAAAGAAACUAGAAUAGGCGGCUCGGGUACAAUUCUAAAAUGAUAUAAG
rnacentral:lncRNA from 1 species